GAUGAACGCUAGCGGGAGGCUUAAUACAUGCAAGUCGAGCGGCAAGUUUUGAUAGCAAUAUUGGAACCUAGAGCGGCGCACGGGUGAGUAACGCGUACAUGACCUGCCCUAUACUGGGGGAUAGUCUUGGGAAACUGAGAAUAAUCCCGCAUGUGAUUAGAAUGCUGCAUGGCAAAUUAAUUAAAGCUGAGGCGGUAUAGGAUGGGUGUGCGUCUGAUUAGCUAGUUGGUGAGGUAACGGCUCACCAAGGCGACGAUCAGUAACCGGCCUGAGAGGGCGAACGGUCACACUGGAACUGAGACACGGUCCAGACUCCUACGGGAGGCAGCAGUGGGGAAUAUUGCACAAUGGGCGCAAGCCUGAUGCAGCAACGCCGCGUGAGUGAAGAAGGC
rnacentral:rRNA from 1 species